GAUGAACGCUGGCGGCGUGCCUAAUACAUGCAAGUCGAGCGAAAAGACGCGGCGCUUGCUCCUCUGACGUUACCGACGGACGGGUGAGUAACACGUGGAUAGCCUACCUAUUAGACUGGGGUAACUUCGGGAAACCGGAGCUAAUACCGGGUAAUAUAUUGAACCGCAUGGUUCGAUAGUGAAAGACGGUUUUGAUGUCACUUCUGGAUGUAUCCUCGCCGCUUUGGCUAGUUGGUAAGGUAACGGCUUACCAAGGCAACGAUGCGUAGCCGAACUGAGAGGGUGAUCGGCCACUCUGGAACUGAGACACGGUCCAGAGUCCGACGGGAGGCAGCAGUAGGGAAUCUUCCGCAAUGGGCGAAAGCCUGACGGAGCAACGCCGCGCGAGUGAUGAGGGUCUGCGGGUCGUAAAACUCUGUUAGGAGGGAAGAACAAAUUCGUAAGUAACUAAGCACGUCUUGACGGUACCUAGACAGAAAGCCACGGCUAACUACGUG
rnacentral:rRNA from 1 species